GGAAAUUGGGGUCAUCCAUGAAUAUACAUAGUAAAUGCUGUAUGAGGAGUGUAGAUUUUGCAGAUGGACUUGCUUUAAAACUGUCUUUAGGAUUAUUUGAGAGGCUAAAAUAAAAGGGAGUGGAAAUACUAGGUUGGCAAAGGUAUGAAGCAACCAGACCUCUCAUAUGUAGCUCAUAGGUGCAUACAGCUACAUUGGAAAACUACAUAGGAAGACUGGCAGUGUCUAUGAAAACUACACAGACCCUUACCUCAUGAUGCAGCAAUUCCACUCUUGGGAGUAUGUGCCCAGGACAUGAAUCUGUAUGUUCAAUAAAAACAUGUACUGGAGACAUUGAUAGCAGCAAUAUAUGCGAUAGUCCCAAACUGAAAUGAUUCAAAUGCCUAUUGAUAAGAGAACAAUAAAUAACUAGUUAUGUAGGGUCAUACAGUGGAGUACAAUUCAGUAGUAAGAAAAGAACAAACUAGUAUCAUUAUGUUACGGGCUGCAUUGUGCCCCUCCUAAAUUCAUACGUUGAAACCCCAACUCCUAGUAUCUUGGAAUACGACCGUAUUUGGAGAUAGGUUCUUUAAAUAUGUGAUUAAGCUACUUGAGGUUAUUAGGGCAGGCAGUAAUCCAGUAUGACUGGUAUUGUGCUAAGAAGAGGAGCUUAUGGCACAGAUGCCCAAAGGGAAGACCCUGUGAAGAUGCAGGGAGAAGGCAGCCAUCUACAAGCCAAGGACAGAGGCCCCAGAAAAAUGAAACCUGCCAAGAGAUUCUGGCUGUUGACCACUUGGGAUGUUACUGUGCACUGGACACACACAAACUGAUGGAACUGAGGGGUAAGCGGUGGGAUGUUGGUGAGGUUAAGUAGAGAAAGCUAUAUUAGAUUUGAAUCAUAAAUUCAGAAAAUUAUAUAUAUAUAUUUCCUACUGUAUGCAAGGUACUUUUCUAGGUACUAGAGACACGGCAAUACAAAUCUCUGCCUUCAUAGAGCUUUUCUUCCAGUAGGCAUUCACUAGAUACAGGGAUUAUCUCAUUCUGUAGCAGAAGAGGGUUCUCAGCAUCAAACCAUGGAUUAUGGGAGCAAAAAUGACACAAAGAAUCAGGAAAGGUCACACUCACUGAGCCUUACUCUCUGGAAAGAACUAUUUACUGUGAAGAGAAAAUAAAAGGAAUGAAUGACAGCCUGGGAAAUAAGUAGCAAUGAGUUACAUUCAAAAUGGGGAAAGAAUUCCAUUUACCAAGUGGGAAACCUAAAACUAUAAAAAUAAAGUCAAAUUAGGGAGAGGAAGUGGCUUUUCUUUUUUCUUGACAGGAGUUUAUCUAAGGGUCUAGAAAAGAAAGAGAAAUACACUUCAAAUUUUAAUGAGCAAUUGCAGCCUCUUCCUCCUGGGUAGAACCGAUUUUCUAAGCAAGUCAGAGAUUCUCCUCUAUUGCCAACUAUACACGUGUCCUCAAACAUCCUCUGCUUCUUCCAGGAUCCUUUACCUUGAAGAGUUGUUAAGCUCUCAUAGGAAGCCUUGGUGAUCCAUCUAAACUAUUCACUCUACUGGGCAGUUCUAGUGUUGAUUCUGACAUUAUUUGGCACUCAUCCGAAAAUACAUGCAGAAGAUGUGAAAAAGCCGGGCAAUCUACUAGGUAUACGUCGGAAUGUAUGGAAAAUUCUGAAAACAGCAAUGACUCAGACAAGGUAGAAAUUUAUUUCUUGUUCACAUGAAACUUUGAGCAGGGUGCCCACACUGGUGAUGGUGCUCCGUGGUCUUAGGGACUCUGGUUUCUGGUAUUAGGGACCUUGUUGCUCCUUCCAUUUGUGACCUGCACUGCUUGUAAAGAUGGCAGCAUCUACAUUCUAGGUUGCAGGAUAAAGAAGAAGAGAGGCUGGACGCAGUGACUCACACGUGUAAUCCCAGCACUUUGGGAGGCUGAGGCUGGCACAUUGCUUCUGCCCAGGAGUUUGAGACCAGCCUGGGAAACAUGGCAAAACUCCAUUUCUACAACAAAUACAAAAUUAGCUGGGCAUGGUGGCCCAUGCCUGUAGUCCCAGCUAAGCUCCUUGGGAGGCUGAGGUGGGAGGAUUACUUGAGUCCGGGAGGUGAGGUUGCAGUGAGCCAAAAUCACACACACCACUGCACUCCAGCCUGAGUGACAGAGUGAGACCCUGUGUUAAAAAAAAAAAAAAAAAGACAACAGCAAAAGAUAUACUACUGCUGCUUCUUUAAGGAAGGGGCAAUAUUUCCACUUAUGUCCCAUUUGCUGGAUUUUAAACUUGUUGCUUCUCUCAGCCACUAGGCAGGUUGGAGAAAUACAGUUUUUAUUCUGGGUAGCCGUGUGUCCAGCUCAAACUCAGAAGAUCUAACACAAUGGAAGAACCUGGAUUUGGGGGAUGAAUUAGUAUUAAUAGAUUAGGCUCUGCUGUGGUACAUACAAACCCUAUUAUCUCAGUGGCUUGCCUAGCUAAGGUUUAUUUCCUGCUCAGGAACCCCAGUUGACAGGUGCUUCACCAUCCCUCAGCUGAUUGCUGGAACACGGGGCCUUCAAGACAGGGAUAAGAAGGGAAGAGAGGGCACGGAGGUAGAAUACCAGCUCCUAAAUGCUUACGAUUGACAUCCAUCAUUUCUGCUCUCAGCCCCUUGGCCAGAGCUAGUCCCAUGGCUUCUUCCUAACUACCGGAGAACAUGGAAAAUGUGGAAAAGCAUUUUAUUAUUGUAAGUGGGCAAUAAAUGUCUCUGCCACUUACUGGGGUUAAUACUUGAAUUCAGUUAAAGAGCCGAAGUUCUGAUUGAGCACUUUGUCAGCAUUUAACUUUCCUCUCUUCCCCCACAGGCCUAUCUGUGGCUUGGAGCCUCCGUGUCCUUCUAGCCCUGUCAAUCUGUGUUUUUCUCUGUGUGUCCACAUACACAGAUUGUAUACAACCUCUGUGUAUCCACAGUCUUGAAGAGAAGCCCUGGGCUCUGGUGCUAUAUUUUCCCAUUUGGCACAGAGGAGGCCUCCCUUUAAACGACAAUAAAAAUAGCCUCCAUUUAUGUUGCUGUUUCUUUCCCUUUGUCUCUUCUACUAAAGGAGCCAACUAAACAAAAUGUGUGCUUUCGGUGCCUGUUCUGUGUUCACUUUAAGAUUUAAUCAACCCUCUGAACCUGCAGCAUAACUGUCUCAUAAUGUCAAGUUAAUAUAUCGAGAUCAGCUCGAACCUACCAUUCCCAAGGGUGAUUUUGUUUAAAGGCAAGUUGUAAUUGAAUUUCUAAGCAACUGCCAAGCUUUCAAGGUACCAAAAUAAACAUUAUCCAAACAGAAACUUAUCCUGGAAUCUUUGGUUAACU
rnacentral:lncRNA from 1 species